rnacentral:rRNA from 1 species
GAUUUCUGGCUAAUUCGGAUGGCCCGGUUCCUUUCGGGACUGCGUGCUGUCUCUGAGUUUGCCAUCCUUCCAGAGAGCAGCGCCUACCGCUUCUGCGGCCGGGCGUUGUGAUCUGGAUCUUUUACUUUGAAAAAAUUAGAGUGUUCCAAGCAGGCUUACGCUUUGAAUACAUUAGCAUGGAAUAAUAAUAUAGGACUUUGGUUCUAUUUUGUUGGUUUCUAGGACUGAAGUAAUGAUUGAUAGGGAUAGUUGGGGGUGCUAGUAUUCAGCGGCCAGAGGUGAAAUUCUUGGAUUCGCUGAAGACUAACUACUGCGAAAGCAUU